UUUUUACGGGUAAAUGUUACUCCACUAAUAAGGCCAAACUCGCCUUUAGUAAAAGAAGCAGACAAGCGGUACAUAAAAUACAACAAAAUCGUGCAUUAAUCAAUAAAUUGAAGAGUCUUUGUGUUAUUUUUGGUUUUAAUGAGGGUGGGGGAGGAAAAUCGAGUGGAUAACAACGGCGAAUAAGAUAUGUGGACGUUUUAAUAACAAUCUAUAGCUAAUAAGCAAUGGGAAACAUUAAUUCACAUCACUGAACAGAAAAACUGUCACUUCAAAAUUUGUUUGCUCUGGGCCAGUUGGGACUUUGGGGAGGUUUUACCUAGUACUGUAUUCUCUCUAUUUUAUAUGAAAGAAGAAGCUAAAAAAAAAUAUCUUCUGAAAAAAACGGAAGAAACGAUUGAAGAGCAUUAUUAUCCAUUAAAUAAAUAUCUAAAGAUUAGGGGUGAGAAAUUGAGCAGUAGCAAGUCUAGCAAGCAACAAAAACAGAGAAAAGAAUGGGAAUGCACUUGAUGGUAGUAGCCGCAUUUCAUCUGUCAAGGGGAGUGGGUGCGGGAGCGGGUGCGAGCGCGAGCUUGACUGCCCCUCGAAUCGCGGCUAACUUGAUAUGGCCUUUUUUAUUCAAGCUCUGCCUAAGCCUCAAAGUUUCCCCACAAGAUUUAGUUUGUUCAACCAGGUUCUUGCUUUUUCAAAUUGCUCAGAUUUUCUCUGGUAUUAAUAAUACGAGUACUAGUAAUAGCCGAUGGGAUCGAACUCUUCGAUUGGUGCGAGAGAGAGUCGCUGUAGCCAGAGAUUCGCCGCCGUCUUUACCUCAUGAUGAUGAAGAAAGUCUCCGUAUACUCUCAAUGUUUGCUCUUUGAAUUUUCAUUUCCUAUUUUUAUUUUCUUCAACAGCUACAUCACUGUAUAUUAUCGUAUCAUUCCAUUAGGUAUUUCUUCGUAGCAUUAAAUAUUAAUUAAUUUGUUUAUAGACCCCCCUUUUUUUUAUAAAUCCUUAAACUAAUGAACAAGUAGAACUUGUUUAUAGGAAUUAUUUAGUACAUGUCUAGUAAUUGUGUCCGUAUGUUGGGAAAGGAUCGUUUGUGUAACAUUUUCCUUACUAAAGACCCAGUCUCCUAAUCUUAUAGUUCAAUUACUGAAUUGGUAGGAGUAGAAGUAACAAGCGAGGCUGUUGAGCAACAAUACAAUAUAAAGAAAAAGUAUUCACAGAAAUACAGAAUCCUUCACCCUAUAAAUAGUAAAACUAAUGGAGGAAACUUGCUAAUUGGAUUUUUUUUUUUUUGUACCAAGUAAUUGUGUAUCGCUGUGUUAUCUAUAGAAUAUUUCGUAUGUUGGGAAAGGAUCGUUCGGACAUUUUCUACAACAUUAUCCUUUGUUCUCAAAGACCCAAUCUCCUAAUCAUGUUGUACGAUUAACUAAAUUUAUAAAGGUAAGGUAGGUGAGCGAUUGAUAAAAUAAAGAAAAAUAUCUAACAUGUUAAACCAAACGACACGCAAAGAAACAUUAAGGUAGAAGAAGGUACGUAAACAUAUUUUUUUUUUUUUUUGAAAACCUGUUAAGGUAUCAUUAUAUUGAUAAUUUGUCCAUCAAUAAAUACAGAGAAAUCUCUCAAGGGUUACGGUUCUCCCAAAUUUGCUCUAUACCAAAAGGCGUUAAACAGGCUAAAUUAUGAGCAACAACAUUUCCAUCUCGUUUAACAUGACACCAAUUAACGGCAUUAAAAGAAGAACAAGAAGCUAAGAUAUCAUUUAGGAUAUUAUCAAGAUCGAUGAAGAAAGUCAAAGCCUUGGAUAAUCGAUUGAUGAGCACCUGACUGUCGCUUUCAAUGAUAAUGUCGGACAGGCCAUGACUUUUAGUAAUUUUGAUGUCCAUGGCAGCAGCUUUCCCUUCAGCAAUGAUCGGUGGCCAGUGAGCUCUUAUGCGACGAGUAGCUGUGAAAAGGACCUCCCUUCUCCAAUCCUUGGCUAUAACUCCUAGUCCCACCCACCCUUCAACACUAAGAGAUGCGUCACAAUUAAGUUUUACCGUGCCUUCAGGUGGGGCUUUCCAAGAUUUUAGGCUGCGACAAGUAUUCUUCUUGACACCCCCAUAAAUUCUCUUCGCAUAGGAGUUACACUCAGAUGCCAGGCGGAACACUCGUUCAACAAUGAUGGGGUGGUUAUCUUCCUUGCCAUUGAAGACCAUAUCAUUUCUUUAAUUGCACAAAUUCCACAUCAAAAUAGCUCCCCUGCAGACCCUUCUUUGCAUCAAGUUUGCUCCAAGACUCAAUUAAAUCAAGGAAAGACAUAUCAUUGGGCCAAAGAGACAUCUCCGUACAAUUGUACUCCACCCAAAGUUCUCGAACUGUAGGACAGUCAAAGAAGGCAUGCUGUACUGUUUCAGGGGUGCCAACACACCAUGGACAAUCCGAGUGCUCAGUCAUGUGCUUGUAUUUGAGGAAAUUGCAGAUUUGGUGCACUUCCCGGCAUUUAGUGGAGCCACCGCGAGCAUUGGAGUUGAAACGUAUUUAUAUGAUCGUGUUUCGAAGCCCAAGACCGUAAUUGAUGAUUCAAUCCGGUGAUUAAGGGCUCAAUGAGGAGAUUUAGAGCUUGGGCAAUUCGAUCUAAGAAGGAUGACGAAUUGGGCUAAGGUAACAAGGCCCAAAGGACGAAGAAGAGUAAGCCCAAGCAUCCGCCCGACCGGGCAGUGCCCUCGCCCUGAGGCGCGCCCGACCGGGCGAGAGGAGAAGACCAUAGGGCGAAGGUUCGCCCGGAUGCGCGCCCGACCGGGCGCAAGCAAGGUUUUAAGUGUGAAAAAGGCGCGCCCGGCCGGGUGAUGCCUCACCCGACCGGGCGCAUGUUUACGUUAGGAUUUUUAUUUUGUUUUAACUUUUUCUUUGAUUUAGUUUUUUAGUUUAGUAUAAAUACGCUUUUGUUAAGUGAGUUUAGGGGCGUCUUUGACACGGACAACUUUUCUUUCUCUCUCCCUUUCUCUCUCCCUCUUACUUUCUCUCUUUACACUUUUUCUCACUACACACUCUUGAUUUAUGCAAUUCAUUAUUUCCUUUAA